CCUUCGCACCCAGGGCCUCAGUUUCUUCAUCAGUACACGGGGGAGGAGGCAGCCUGUGGGAAGACCGGGGCCACUGAGCCACAGCCACAGGCUGGCCUGAAGAACAAGACAGCUCCCGAUGCCCUUGUCAGUGGGAUGCAGCGCGAGAGGUCCCGGAGAAGCCAAGGGCACCCCCACCUCCCUGCACGCCCCGCCCCCCAGGGCCAGGACCCUCAUGAGGACACAGCCCACGCCCCGAGAGGACGAGCCCCAUACUCACGUCCAUGUAGUUCCUGAGCACCUCCGGAACGGGAUCCCCCGCCACACUGGGCACCC